ACCUACGGGAGGCAGCAGUGGGGAAUAUUGCGCAAUGGGGGAAACCCUGACGCAGCAACGCCGCGUGAGCGAUGAAGGCCUUCGGGUCGUAAAGCUCUGUCUUUGGGGACGAUAAUGACGGUACCCAAGGAGGAAGCCACGGCUAACUACGUGCCAGCAGCCGCGGUAAUACGUAGGUGGCGAGCGUUGUCCGGAAUUACUGGGCGUAAAGGGUGCGUAGGCGGAAUAUUAAGUCAGAUGUGAAAUCCCCGGGCUCAACUCGGGAGUUGCAUUUGAAACUGGUAUUCUAGAGUGCAGGAGAGGAAAGCGGAAUUCCUAGUGUAGCGGUGAAAUGCGUAGAUAUUAGGAAGAACACCAGUGGCGAAGGCGGCUUUCUGGACUGUAACUGACGCUGAGGCACGAAAGCGUGGGGAGCAAACAGGAUUAGAUACCCUGGU
rnacentral:rRNA from 1 species